GGUUGACUCGGAUCAG
rnacentral:rRNA from 1 species